rnacentral:lncRNA from 1 species
CUCUACUAAGCCAGCAGCAUGACCUGUCAUCUUUCCUGUACUCAGCAGCUCCCUACCCCACACCCUGUCCAGACGCUUUCUCCACUGUUCUGCCUUGGUUUCCUUUGUGACUGCCUCUCCUCCCCCUAACUCACUCACUAGUGUUCUCCUAGGCUCUUAACAUAGACUUCCCUCUGGCUCCUACUGCUCUUAUUCUGCCAAGAGAAUAAGAAACAUUCAUUGGCUUAAGCCAUCCUGGAGUUGAACAGUUAUAUUUGGGUCACUUACUGAUUGCCUCCUCUUGAAUAUCUCUCUGCUUCUCAUGAAAUCUUCGUGCAUCUGUCUUAUAUAAGUUUCUUCAGAAGCAGAGCCAGAACUUUUGUGUGAUUUGUUAAGAGGAAAGCCCAUGGGAGGACACAGCAAGAAGGCAGCCAUCUGCAACCCAAGGAGGGAGCCCUUACCAAGAACCAACCAGUUGACAUCUUGAUCUUGAAUUUCCAGUGUCUAGAGCGGUGAGAAAAUAAAAUUCUUAUGUUGAAAC